CGUGGGCUCAGCACGGAGAACAUCCUCAUCCCCAGGCAGAGCGAAACCUGCUCUCCAGGGAGCGAUUAGGGGCAGAGGGCACCUUGGCUCCUCAGCAGCCCAAGGAUGGCACCACCCAGCACCUCCGUUGUUCACAGGGACAUGGAGAAAGCCCCC